CGAGCGAACAGACGAGGAGCUUGCUCCUCUGACGUUAGCGGCGGACGGGUGAGUAACACGUGGAUAACCUACCUAUAAGACUGGGAUAACUUCGGGAAACCGGAGCUAAUACCGGAUAAUAUAUUGAACCGCAUGGUUCAAUAGUGAAAGACGGUUUUGCUGUCACUUAUAGAUGGAUCCGCGCCGCAUUAGCUAGUUGGUAAGGUAACGGCUUACCAAGGCAACGAUGCGUAGCCGACCUGAGAGGGUGAUCGGCCACACUGGAACUGAGACACGGUCCAGACUCCUACGGGAGGCAGCAGUAGGGAAUCUUCCGCAAUGGGCGAAAGCCUGACGGAGCAACGCCGCGUGAGUGAUGAAGGUCCUCGGAUCGUAAAACUCUGUUAUUAGGGAAGAACAAAUGUGUAAGUAACUAUGCACGUCUUGACGGUACCUAAUCAGAAAGCCACGGCUAACUACGUGCCAGCAGCCGCGGUAAUACGUAGGUGGCAAGCGUUAUCCGGAAUUAUUGGGCGUAAAGCGCGCGUAGGCGGUUUUUUAAGUCUGAUGUGAAAGCCCACGGCUCGACCGUGGAGGGUCAUUGGAAACUGGAAAACUUGAGUGCAGAAGAGGAAAGUGGAAUUCCAUGUGUAGCGGUGAAAUGCGCAGAGAUAUGGAGGAACACCAGUGGCGAAGGCGACUUUCUGGUCUGUAACUGACGCUGAUGUGCGAAAGCGUGGGGAUCAAACAGGAUUA
rnacentral:rRNA from 1 species